CAGUCGCCGCGGUAAUACGAAGGGGGCUAGCGUUGUUCGGAUUUACUGGGCGUAAAGGGCGCGUAGGCGGGCUGAUAAGUCGGGGGUGAAAUCCCAAGGCUCAACCUUGGAACUGCCUUUGAUACUGUUUGUCUUGAGUUCGAGAGAGGUAAGUGGAACUGCGAGUGUAGAGGUGAAAUUCGUAGAUAUUCGCAAGAACACCAGUGGCGAAGGCGGCUUACUGGCUCGAAACUGACGCUGAGGCGCGAAAGCGUGGGGAGCAAACAGGAUUAGAUACCCGCGUAGUCCCUGUCUCUUAUAU
rnacentral:rRNA from 1 species